rnacentral:lncRNA from 1 species
GCUUAGGUUCGAACCUGCGGGGUCACACACAUUAGAGAUUCCUAUCUGAUCUAUUGGCUGAUGAAGAGUCCUACAUGUCUGGGACCCUGUGAUCUAGAAUCAAGAUUCUCUGAUCAUGAGUACCACACAUUUUGGGUAUCGGGGUCAAGAGUCCCACUGGUUUGGAAUUUUUUUGAUCAGGGUUUCAUAUCGAUGAACUCUGAUGCCUGAUUGCCCAUC